UUGUACGAAAAUCAAUGCGAACGAAAACGUAAGCAUUUCAGUGCAAUUUUGCGUUCCAAUAUCUUUUUUCUUUUGCACGCAUGCGAACACAAAUGUCAAAAUCAGUCACUUCUGCGUUUGCUGUCGUAUGACUACAAUUCAGGAAAUUUUUUUCAAAAUAAAUAUUGCUCAUUUAUCUUCUAGCAUAUCUAAAAGAGCCCGAAAAACUUUCUUCGACACAAGAAAAUUGGUCACAAAAAAUUUAAAAAAAAAAUGUAAAAAUACAAUCAUACUUAAUGGUUGUUAGAUACUUCAAACAAAUUGGAAGCGUCUCUUAAAUGCCUCCGUGGUACAUUUUGAAGCCCCUAAACAUAAUUUUCAUUUUUCAUCAUCAAUAUUCAUUUUUUUAUUUUUUUUAAGAACACAAGUAAUUCGAACACAAUCACUGGGAAUAUUAUUUUGUUUCUUUAUUUACAAUUUGUUUGUUUACAACCGAACUGUCAGUUCAGGCACAGCCAGCUUACGUAUGGUUGUAUUUUUUAUUGCUUUUUCGCGUUUAAAUCAGUCAUUCUGGGGUUUUUUGCUUACAUUCGCAAUUAAUUUUUAAAAGGUAUAUUUAACAGAACUCGUCACGUAAAGCUAUGCGAAAGAAAGAACGAAUAUUAGUGAAACGCAUUCUAAUACGAAAAUGUAAACUGGAUUUGGACGUGGUGUGGAGAUUUAGCGGUUUCCAGGGAACGGAUCGGUUCUUCCUCGAGGCGUAAGAUUUUAGCGUUUAAUUACGUGCGUUAAUUACGUGGAAUGGAAAACGAUGGGAGAAAAACCCCACUUUCAACGGCUAACAUUUGUAUAGAAACAUAUAUUUACCACAAAAUAUACAAGAUGAGUAUAGUUUACACUAAUUCCCCAAUGGUUUUCCUUCACAAAUAUAUGUUUUAAUAAAUUCUUUUUUAUCAAACACCGAGAAUUUAAUUAUGUGUGCUGUCGUCCGUCUAUCUGUCUGAGAGCGACGUAUAAGAAGGUCUGAGAAAAAUACCAGAGCAUGCCGGUUUGGCAAUGCAACAACACUGCGCAUCCCUCGGUGGAUUAGAUGUAUGAUGAAUGUGGCUCCAGGAAGAUAUCGGCUGACGUUCUUUACUGUUUUGUUUGAUAUCUAGGCAACGUUCCGGGUUUCGUAUAGACUUUAAGUUUUGCUAACUUCUAUUUCAGUAUCGUGUAUUUAUAGCUUUGUUUAAAACAAGUUUUAAUGUUUGUCCAUUUCAAAUUUGUAAUUAAUUUUGUAUUUUAAUUUAUUUUGAUUCAGGUUUCAUUACUUUUAUUCUUAAUUUUCUUUUUUCAAGGAAGGUUCUUGUUUAAUUUUUUAUAUAUUCAUAUUAUUAUUUUCUUUAUAUAUAAUAAAGGUCCACUAAAUACUAAACUUUUAUCUAUACAGCAUUAUUCUUUGCUCUGUUAGCCACACGCCCAACCGUCUUCGUGGGUAAAGCAAAACGGCUCGAAAUUUAAUCAAUUUUCAUAGAGGACAUUUUUCUAGUCAUUUUGUCAUAGGCUGUAGUACUCCCGUAAAUAAUGUUGCUGAAGUCAUUAAAAUACCGAAUAUUGGGAGGUACCGUUAUAUGGUGGCCUAUAGAAGGUAAAACAAAGCUACCCCCUAAAUAGUUUAUUUCUUUUGGUGCCCUUAUUCUGC